rnacentral:misc_RNA from 1 species
CAAGCGGACUCGAAGGGAAAAAAAAAUCCUGGAAAAACAGUAACAUGCUCCAUCAAUGGUGAUCUAUAGAUCGCUAAGAACCCUAACCACUAAAAAUCAUAAUAAAAACAGGACUUUCUUAACUGCAGCAGCAACCUCUAUAAUCCCAUUUCCCUAUACUACUGCUACUUUACCGCUCCAGCCCUUGCAUUACUCUCCUUCUCCGCAUUCCCCUCCCCUCUUUUUCUCUCCUCUUUCCAAAUGGAUUGCUCCGUUUCAAAGUCAAGGGCGAGGCCCUCUCUUCCUCUCCUCGCCUCCCUGGAAGCUCUUGCAAUCUGCUACUCCGCUUUACCUCCGUGGAAAUGCCGUCGUUUUGAGGAAAGUUGAGGCGUUGAACUUGAAUUUGCUUAGGACUCGAAUCAGCUCGGGUUUGACCGGUCAAAGAGUGUUGGAUCGGGUCCAAGAGCUGAAGGAGGGUGUUGUCGAUGAUAGGUUUUUUGAGAGUUUUGUGAAUCUGCCUAAUUUCAUCUCUCUAACUCGUUUGGUCUCUGGGCCUCUGAUUGGAUGGUAUUCUUUUUUCUAUUUUUUAAAUUUUAUCUCGUUAUUUUUAUUUUUCGCACUUGGAUUGAAUGUACUUUCUGGUUGGAGUUGGAGUCUAAAACUUAACAUUCUUUGCUGGACUUGUAAAAUCAUAAGAUAAGCAAAAAGAUUCUGUGACUGUUAAUUAGUGAUUUCGCUGCAUAAUAGUUUCUAUGGUAAGAAACAAGCUGAUCAUAUCGAUGAGGAAAUGAGUAGAAUUAAGUUGAAGAUCCUAGCGAACAAUGUUGGAUGGUCAAGUUGUAUUUGUUGUAAGCCCUGUGAUGUUUUUUAAUUUUUGAUUUAGAUAAGGAUAAUUUGACUGAACAACUAUCAUUAAAUUUUAAUAUGAUGCCUAGACAACAGCUGCAAAACAGACUUCCUGUGCUUGAAGAUAGCUGGUAAGAUGUGCUGGAUUAUUCAGUGCAAUCUAAAACAAGCCUUUGUUGUUCCUUACAGUUUUUUGUUUUUAUUUGAAAUACCUUACAGAUAAUUAGGUACCUGUAGAUUGCUUCAAUGUGUCAUAUUUAGAAUGAUGAUUCACAACUUCUAUGCAGGAUGAUUACAAAUGAAAUGUAUUCUUCUGCAUUUGUGGGAUUGGUUCUCUCUGGGUCAACUGAUUGGGUAACCGUAACGAUUUAUGUAAUAACAAAUCAAAUUUAGAAUGUACAAAACUGAAUUUAGUUUACUUUUAUAUGUUGUAGCUAGAUGGUUACAUUGCCAGGAAAAUGAGAAUCAACUCUGUAGUGGGUUCCUACCUUGAUCCUCUUGCUGACAAGGUCCUUAUUGGAUCUGUUGCAUUGGCAAUGGUGCACAUGGAUCUUUUGCACCGUAAGUUGUCUUUCGUAAGUUGUCUUUGUUGUUAAGCUUAUAAUCUUGUAAUCUGAAAUGUGCGUGCAUGCAUGUGCAAUUAAAUUUUCUUAGCUUCAAAUUUUGGUAUUCUGCAUACUCAAUUUUUGAAUUGUCUGCUGCUGGUAUUUUGAAUUUUUAGAAUCAUUGGACCAAGUAUAAACCCUCUCAAAAUUUCUCAAAGAAGGGGAUGAAUAGGUUUCUUUCGUUAUUCUAUCCAUUGCUACUGGCUUGUGGCGUAACACAGCAAAUGUCUGGUUUGGUUAGUAGUUUGAGGGUGUUAUAUAUCAACCUAUGUAACAAUACUGUCAAACAGUUUAUUCAUGUGCACAAAGUGUUUUUAUUAAUAUGGUGGUUAAAUCACUCUUAUUAUGUUCUUGUUGUGUAAAGCUGGACUUGUUGGACUGGUUGUGUUGCGAGAUGUUGCACUUGUUGGUGGUGCGCUAUAUCAUAGAGCUACUAGUUUGGAUUGGAAGUUGAGUAGUUGGCAUGAUUUCUUUAAUCUUGAUGGAACCCACCGAGAGAAGGUUGAACCUCUCUUCAUAAGCAAGGUCAAUACGGUUUUCCAAUUGAUUUUAGUAGCAGCAGCCCUCCUUCAACCAGAGUUUGGAACUGAUGAAACUCAAUCAUGUAUAACAUACCUGAGCUGGUUGGUGGCUGCCACAACAGUGGCAUCUACAGCUGGAUAUGGAGCACAAUACAUGAGGAAUAAAUCAACAUUGCUUGCAAAGAAAUCAUAGCUUUGGUUUUGCAGCUCAAAUAUCUCAAACUGGAGGAAUUAUUUUGUGUCUUGAGUCCAGCAUUUGAAGUUUUUUGAGGAAAAACCAGGUAUCUGGGUUUGUCUGGAGAUGCAGACAAAAAGAAAUGCCAAACUUAGAGCUUAUUUGGUUCUCUUUGUCCUUCCAUAUUUGUAGAUUAGAUGCAGCUUUUGUGGCCAUGAGAUUUCUUGCUUUAUGGGUUUGGGGCAGGCAGGCAGCUUAGUGAACCGCUUGAGGCAGUGUUGAUGAUGUAUCUAUAUUGCUGAUUAAGCUACCUGAACUUGUAAAGAAUGUCUUUUCAUAUAGAGAAUUGUAAUCGAAUAGGAAAAUACGAGGCGUUUUUUGAAUUCAAAUCUAAGGGUAAUAAUUAAGAAGAUUUUUUUAUCUAUUUGCUCUGGAUUGAACUUGUAUACCACCUAAACGUUUUAUCUGUAAGUUUG